UAGGAGGUAGUAUAAUGUGGUAGUACGUGAAGUUUUGGACUUUACAGUGCGGGUUCGAAGCCCGGCCUUUUAG
rnacentral:tRNA from 1 species